CUUUGCUGGCUCGCAGAGUCAAGAUUUCCUGGCAGAGGGUGCUCCUGAGAAAAUUGUUGAGUAGGGAAUAGAUCAAGAGCUUGCUUUUUUUUUUUUUUUUUUUUGGGACGGUGGGGUGGGCUCCUAUAGUUCCCUCGGUAGCUCGGUGGUAAAGAAAGCUUGUGCAAUGCAGGAGACCGGGGUUCGAUUCCUGGGUGGGGAAGAUGCCCUGGAGGAGGGCGUGGCAACCCACUGCAAUAUCCUGGCCUGCAGAAUCCCAGGGACAGAGGAGCCUGGCGGGGCUACAGCGCAUGGGGUCGCAGAGAGUCGGACACGACCGCGCACACACUCCUGGGAUGCAAACAGACGUGUGCCCUGGGCAGUCUGCACGGCCUUUUUACCAAGCUCCUCCCCCGAGACCUCGUAUCGCUCUCAGAUCGCCAGCCCUGAUGACCUUCGAUGCGGUUGCCCCGCAGUUUUGCUCGCGCUGGGCGUGUUUACAUUGCUGGAUUUCCCGUCCGGGGUCCUCACACUCCACACGUGGCGACCGGCCUCGGACAGGGCGGAGCAAGCCGGACCCCCAUCCCUGAGGGCGGGACAGCUGCUUCGCAGACUUAAAAGGAAGCACCCCCCCGCCCGAGGUUCUUCGGCGGCUGCGGGAGAGAGGAACGAAGCAUCACUGUGAUUUCAAAAAUGAAGGACCAUCCAUGAAAUUUUCACCCGGUGUCUUUCUCGUCCUCCCGGGGAGCCUGAGGCAGUUCUUAUGAUGACCAGCUGUUCUCGAGACAGGAUCUGCCAGUAACCUCAUCGUUAUGGGAGUAACUCAAUUUUUCCAUAUUCAGGAUAACAAUGCAGUGACUCAACUUUCCCAGCAAAAUCGCAUAAGACCCAAAGACAAACUGUGAUCCAUUAAAAAAAAAAAAAAAACAUUUCCUUAAGAUUCACUCUGGAUGUCCUAAGGAACUUUUAGUAAAACUACUGAAAAAGUUGAAAGUGAUGCAUAGAAAUUCUAGAAAUAUUAGCUUUAAAUUUGCUCGAUUUAAAAUGGUGGUUUAGUUGCUAAGUUGUGUCUGAUUCUUGGGAUCCCACAGACUGUGUAGCCCACCAGGCUCCUCUGCCCACCGGGUUCUCCAAGCAAAAAUACUGGAGUGGGUUGCCAUUUCCUUCACCAGGGGAUCUUCCUGACCCAGGGAUUGAACCCGGGUCUCCCUGCAUUGCAGGCAGAUUCUUUACUGUCUGAACCACCAGGGAAGUUGGAAUGUCCUUUAAUGCACGCAGUUCACGGAGUGGCAAAGAGUUGGACACAACUUAGCCACUGAACCACAAAAUCAGUCGCACCUGAAAAGUUAACAGUGGUUUGGAAUCAGAAACUGUUCGUUGCUCAGUCGUGUCCGACUCUUUGCAACCCUGUGGACUGUAGCCCACCAGGCUCCUCUGUCCAUGGGAUUCUCCAGGCAAGAAUACUGGAGUGGGUUGC